rnacentral:rRNA from 1 species
UUUACCGUGAAAAAAUUAGAGUGUUCAAAGCAGGCAGAUUCAAUUUUCUGCCACCGAAUACAUUAGCAUGGGAUAAUGGAAUAGGACCCUGUCCUCCUAUUUUCAGUUGGUUUUGGCAGCGCGAGGACUAGGGUAAUGAUUAAUAGGGAUAGUUGGGGGCAUUAAUAUUUAAUUGUCAGAGGUGAAAUUCUUGGAUUUAUGAAAGAUUAACUUCUGCGAAAGCAUCUGCCAAGGAUGUUUUCAUUAAUCAAGAACGAAAGUUAGGGGAUCGAAGACGAUCAGAUACCGUCGUAGUCUUAACCAUAAACGAUGCCGACCAGCGAUUAGGAGACGUUGAAUACAAAACACCACCAUCGGCGCGGUCGCCCUUGGCGUUCGUGUUCACGCACGGGCGCGAGGGCGGUUUAGCCCGAUGGCACCGGUGAAUGACUCCCCUAGCAGCUUGUGAGAA